GAACACAACAAAAAGACACCCACAGGAUUCACAACUACCAACAAACACCCCCCCACACUUAAAAUCUGGCACUGUCCUCAGUGCAUACAAAAAGAGGGGUGAAAGAGGAAACUUCCCUAAAUACCGAUCCAAGUGGUGAGUCUGUAGUAUCCCACGAUGUCUGCCAAGCUCUCAUCUAUAAAACAAACAGUCCCCGACGCACCAACCUGCACCAAACAACAGAAA
rnacentral:lncRNA from 1 species